GAAGGCUGAAAUUCGCCUUCAUGAAGCUGGAAUUGCUAGUAAUGGCAGGUCAGCAUACUGCCGUGAAUACGUUCCCGGGCCUUGUACACACCGCCCGUCACACCAUGAGAGUUGGGAAUACCCGAAGCCUGUGAGCUAACUUAUAGAGGCAGCAGUCGAAGGUAGAAUCAAUGAUUGGGGUGAAGUCGUAACAAGGUACC
rnacentral:rRNA from 1 species